rnacentral:rRNA from 1 species
AGUGAACGCUGGCGGCAGGCCUAAUACAUGCAAGUCGAACGGCAGCACAGUGGAGCUUGCUCCAUGGGUGGCGAGUGGCGGACGGGUGAGGAAUACAUGGGAAUCUGCCCAGUCGUGGGGAUAACGUAUGGAAACGUACGCUAAUACCGCAAUGCGCCCCUUCGGGGGAAAGUCGGGGACCGCAAGGCCUGACGCGAUUGGAUGAGCCCAUGUUCGAUUAGCUAGUUGGCGGGUAACGGCCCACCAAGGCGACGAUCGAUAGCUGGUCUGAGAGGAUGAUCAGCCACACUGGAACUGAGACA